GUUCGUAUGGAUACAGUAUCUUCCAGUGAAGCUCUUUUUGAUGCCGUGUGUGCAAGCGAUGUCAAGAAAGCAUCGGCGGCUCUCGAGAAAGGAGCAGAUGUGAACGAAGUAGCAAAAGAGUGGGAGACUACGGUAGUGUGUAUGGUCUUCCAUCAGCGUUGCAAGUAGGAUGUGCUGAUUCAUCAAUUGACUUGGUGGAUUUACUGCUACAAUAUCUAGUAAACGUCAACUCUCCAUGAGGAUGGGGUGCUAUUGAUCGUCUCGGUUCAACUGUUAAGGCUGAUUAUGAAGUUGCUAUGAAAAGGGGGAAGUUGCAAUAAUGCAAGGGAAC